GGCAAACAAGCCGACGCCCCCUCCAGUGCCCCCUGUGAAGCCCAACUCGUCACCGUCACCAUGGAAAUCUGAGAUCCCAGUGGGGCAGAAGAUGGCUCUGAUUCCGCCGCGGGGGGCCAGAUGAUGACCAGAGAGAUGAGAUGAGAAGAGACGAGACGAGAUGAGACGAGAAGCUUUUCUGCCACAUCAGCAGCCUGAGGGAAGAUGAUGAUGAUGAAGAUGACGAUGUGCUGUUUUUUCCCUCCUGGCUGGAGGGUUUGUGGCUGAUGCUUGAGGAGUGAUGCACUCUGGGAUUGUGGAGGGGUUUGCACACCGUGCUGGCUGCUUGUUUUCAGGCCUAGGGUUAGUAAAGGCUUAAUCCACGUGAAGGCCUAGGGUUAGUGAAGGCUUAAUCCAUGUGAAGGCUUUCUCUCUCUGCUUGUUUUCAGGCCUAGGGUUAGUGAAGGCUUAAUCCAUGUGAGCGUUCUCUUUCAGGGACUUUUUUAUGGUACGACCAGCGUCACACAAAGUGCUCCUUUCAUGGACAUCCAUAAUUGCUGAAUUGUUGUGUUGCCGUGCUGUUCUAUGCGUCAUGUGUGUGUGUGUGUGUGUGUGUCUGUGUGUGUGUGUGUGUGUGUGUGUGUGUGUGUUGCCGUGCUGGAGCUCACAGGACUGGCUGCGUCACCGUCUAGCCAGACCUACAAAUCUGCUCUUUGCUUUUUCUUAUUUUUUAAACGGACCUCAGUCUCUGCAACUGGAUUCCAAUGGAGAAUGAGACCAGAUGAUAUUGCUCUAUAUAUACACACACACACACACACACAUACACUCUGGAGAAUGAGACCAGAUGAUAUUGCUCUAUAUAUACACACACACACACACACACACACACACACACUCUGGAGAAUGAGACCAGAUGAUAUUGCUCUAUAUACACACACACACACUCUGGAGAAUGAGACCAGAUGAUAUUGCUCUAUUCCUUGUUCAAUGGAGCAUGAGACCAGAUGAUAUUGCUCUAUACACACACACACACACACACACUCUCACGCACAUACACUCUUGUGAAUGAGAUCAGAUGAUAUUGCUCUAUUCCUUGUUCAAUGAAGCAUGAGACCAGUUUAAUCCAGUCGAAUUGCUCUAUUCCAUGUUCUUUCUUGUUGUUCUUUUCCAAGCCACUGAUGCUUUUAUAUUUUUGCAUCUUUAUUUUUUUAUAAGUCACAUUUUGUCUUUGUCAUGUUUAUGUUUACAUGUUUAUGUUUUUGCACAUUGACAGAGGCAUUUGAAAGGUUGUGCCAGUUGGGAUUUUAAACCAUUUUCUUGUUCAGCUGGUCUGAAACCUUUUGUAUUGUCUAAUUGACUCUCAGUCCUUUUUAAAUUAUUUACUGUUUUAUUUUGUAAUCAUGUUGUCAACAUGUUUCAAUGUGCGUCAUUCUGUUAACUUAGUGCCUUUUCUACAGACAGCAAUAAAAAGAUUUUACUGUA